UUUGGGGUCAAGGCAACAUGAGGAACUGUAUUGCGGGGUCACAGCAUUACAAAGGCUGAGAACCACUGAUCUAGAAGGCUUUCAGCAAGUUGGAUGGAACACCUGUAGAGAAGCAUAUAAACAAGAGCUGCACAGGCCCACUUCUUUGAUGGAAAAUGAUGAAGUGCCCAGUGUUCCUUUAUUGGCUCAACUCCAUAACUUAGUGAGAAAGAAGUUUCUCACUAUUUUAUGGACUGAAAACACAUAUGGUGCCAGGAAGGAUAUGCAAGAGGAGAUGAAAAAGCAAAAAGAGAAAAAAAAAGGGCCUAUCACAGCUUCCAAAUUGCCUAGCACUUCUCAGGGGGGCAGUCUCUGUGGGAUUCACACCACUCAUCCUCUGAAGGCAUCAACUCUUAUCAAAAGUAUUCACCAGUUUCUGAUUGAGUUUCUGAGGGUAUGAACUCUUUAAAAUGAAUCUCCAAGUCAAUAUUCUUGCAGCAAAUCAUUUUUAAUUUGGAAGUUAUACUGUACCAUAAAAAUCUACACAGUAUAUUAGAGAACCAGACACAGAAUUGCUAUGCUAAGCACACUGUAAAUACAAGAACUGUUUCAGUAAUGCAAGAGGAAUAAAUUAUCAAUUUAUCAUCUCA
rnacentral:lncRNA from 1 species